AGUGAACGCUGGCGGUAGGCCUAACACAUGCAAGUCGAACGGCAGCACAGUAAGAGCUUGCUCUUACGGGUGGCGAGUGGCGGACGGGUGAGGAAUACAUCGGAAUCUACUUUUUCGUGGGGGAUAACGUAGGGAAACUUACGCUAAUACCGCAUACGACCUACGGGUGAAAGCAGGGGAUCUUCGGACCUUGCGCGAUUGAAUGAGCCGAGUCGGAUUAGCUAGUUGGCGGGGUAAAGGCCCACCAAGGCGACGAUCCGUAGCUGGUCUGAGAGGAUGAUCAGCCACACUGGAACUGACACACGGUCCAGACUCCUACGGGAGGCAGCAGUGGGGAAUAUUGGACAAUGGGCGCAAGCCUGAUCCAGCCAUACCGCGUGGGUGAAGAAGGCCUUCGGGUUGUAAAGCCCUUUUGUUGGGAAAGAAAAGCAGCAGGUUAAUACCCCGCUGUUCUGACGGUACCCAAAGAAUAAGCACCGGCUAACUUCGUG
rnacentral:rRNA from 1 species